AACGCGCAUUGCGCCCCUUGGUAUUCCGAGGGACAUGCCUGUUCGAGCGUCAUUACAACCCUUAAGCAUUGCUUGGUAUUGGGCUCCGCUGCUCACCCAGCGGGCCUUAAAAUCAGUAGCGGUGCCGUCGAAGCCCUGAGCGUAGUAAACAUCCUCGCUAUAGGGACUCGGUGGACGCUGGCCAUCAACCCCCAACUUUCUAAGUUUGACCUUGGAUCAGGUAGGCAUACCCGCUGAACUUAA
rnacentral:misc_RNA from 1 species